rnacentral:rRNA from 1 species
UUCCCCUCCGGGGGGCCGCCGUGGGGAAUAUUGCACAAUGGGGGCCCCCCUGCUGCCGCUCCUCCUCUUUCUUGAAUAAGUAUUUCGGUAUGUAAAGCUCUAUCAGCAGGGAAGAAAAAAGACGGUACCUGACUAAGAAGCCCCGGCUAACUACGUGCCAGCAGCCGCGGUAAUACGUAGGGGGCAAGCGUUAUCCGGAUUUACUGGGUGUAAAGGGAGCGUAGACGGCGCGGCAAGUCUGAAGUGAAAGGCAGGGGCUUAACCCCUG